CUCAUUUUUCUACUGCUCGUGGUAAGUGGCUUCGUGGUCUUUAUAGCUGUUACUCUUUUGUACUUUGUCUUUUUCUUUUAUUUUCUUUUGAGCGAUUGUGCGAACAUAGCAUAGCACGCACUAUGCCUUCUGUGUUGUAGCUGCCUGGCCAGGGCGACUGGCGGAUAAGGUCUUGUGCGUGGCCUCGAGGCUUAAAAGUAGCAGUGGGGCUUUGUGAAGGACAAAAUGGCGAUGGCGGGCCGUGUAGGUCCCCCUUCCUAUGAUGAGGACCUUUUCACAGACCUGUACUGAGCUCCGUGAGGAUAAAUAACUCUGAGGAGAUGGGCCCUGCAAGCCUCUUGCUUAGCCGUCUGUUCAGAAAAUAGCGUUUUCGAAAUGCCCUGAGUUGACCUAAUGUCUUAUUGGGCUCCUGUCUGCAGGAUUUACGCGCACGUUGGAACCGAAGAGAGCUCUGUUGUUGCAAUGUUCAGCCCACAAGAGCUUACUGGUGAAGGAAUGGGACAAGACCCAUCUUUAUGCAAAGCCAGCGUUACAGUAAUGUUCCAGCAUCUCAUAAUCUAUCCUGGGGAAUUCAGCUGCCUCCCAGGGUGAAUACAGGUAUUCCUGAUGACAGUCUGCCUCUAUCUUACAGAGCAGCUUGUUGCUAUAUACCAUUGAAAAGCCUUCAGAGCUGAGAGGUACUACUAACCAAUAACCUGCUUGGCUCAAAGGGCCAGCACCUUCUCUCUAAAGCCCAAGAGGAGUUUGAGGAAAACUAGGUGUCUGUGUUCACUCCAGGCUGAAGUUACAGGUCUGAGCAAAUAAGGUGUAUAAAAAAUGGAAUCUGUCUUGGAGGACAUCAGAAGGUGAAUUUUCCAAGUUCUUGGACAACCUAGCUGUUGAAAAGCUUUCUGGGUUUGGGGGGUAUUUCAGAUGUACCUUAAAGUGUUAGCAGACACAGAUUAAGACACUGGGAGCCAAUGAAACAGCAGUUGAGGGUUUGCUGUGUAUCACAUUUCUGUAUUUUAUCACCCCCUUCCUGCAACAUUAUUUAUCUGGAAUCUACCUGCCCUUUUGUUUUUUAGAUACAAGGGCUUGGUUUUGUUACCCAGGCUGGUUUCAAGGCCAUAGCUUUAAGAGAUCCUCUCACCACAGAUUUCCAAAGUGCUGGGAUUGCAGGUGUGAUUCAUGGCACCCAGACUUUGCUGCCUUUCUUACAUGAUCCAGGCCCAGAACCCAAACUCAGGCACUGUAUAGAUGACCACUUUCGUAAACUACUGACCUAGCUUGUUGCCAAUUGUUGAUUGAACUUCCCAUAACUCCACUUCGUGUCUGUUCCUCUGUAUACAGCCACCUUCUGUUCCCGUCAUGAGCCUUUAGGUCUCCAUUUGCAUAUUGCAAAUACUAUGUUCCAUGUAGGUAGCUCAUUCAGGGCCUUGCUCUUCACUUCAAAAAAGGUUCCCUUGAGGACUGGCUGUCAAUUUGUGUUGCUGUGUUGGUUGUUGAUGAAAAUAAUAAAAUGAUUGAUUACAUAGUCCUGUUUAAAAAAAAAAAAA
rnacentral:lncRNA from 1 species